rnacentral:misc_RNA from 1 species
GAUGAAGAACGUAGUGAAAUGCGAUAAUUAAUGUGAAUUGCAGAAUUCAGUGAACCAUCGAGUCUUUGAACGCACAUUGCGCCCCCUGGUAUUCCGGGGGGCAUGCCUGUCCGAGCGUCAUUGCUGCCCUCAAGCACGGCUUGUGUGUUGGGCUUCCGUCCCUGGCAACGGGGACGGGCCCAAAAGGCAGUGGCGGCACCAUGUCUGGUCCUCGAGCGUAUGGGGCUUUGUCACCCGCUCCCGUAGGUCCAGCUGGCAGCUAGCCUCGCAACCAAUCUUUUUAACCAGGUUGACCUCGGAUCAGGUAGGGAUACCCGCUGAACUUAAGCAUAUCAAUAAGCGGAGGA